UCAUUUUUGCAUUCUUUAAUUCAAGAAUCGACACAGUUUCUUCUUUAGUUAAGCAUCGUUUCGUCCCGGUGCUAAAUAUUCAUACAGUCUUCGGCGAAUCCGCAUUCAAAGUUCAAGUUUCCUCGUUCAUAAUCGAAAAUGAGAGAAAUACUUCACAUUCAAGGUGGACAAUGUGGUAACCAAAUCGGAUCUAAGUUUUGGGAGGUGGUUUGUGAUGAACAUGGUAUUGAUCCAACUGGGAAGUACGUCGGAACAUCAGAUCUGCAGCUAGAGAGAGUUAAUGUUUACUACAAUGAAGCUUCUUGUGGAAGAUUCGUUCCUCGUGCUGUACUCAUGGAUCUUGAGCCUGGGACUAUGGACAGUGUUCGAACUGGUCCUUAUGGUCAGAUCUUUCGUCCUGAUAACUUUGUUUUUGGACAAUCUGGUGCUGGUAACAAUUGGGCUAAAGGGCAUUAUACUGAAGGAGCUGAACUCAUCGAUUCAGUUCUUGAUGUUGUCAGGAAAGAAGCUGAGAAUUGUGACUGCCUUCAAGGUUUUCAAGUAUGCCACUCAUUGGGUGGAGGAACUGGCUCUGGGAUGGGUACUUUGUUGAUCUCCAAGAUCAGAGAAGAGUACCCUGACCGAAUGAUGCUCACAUUCUCCGUAUUUCCUUCGCCUAAGGUUUCAGAUACAGUAGUUGAGCCUUAUAAUGCAACCCUCUCUGUUCAUCAGUUAGUUGAAAAUGCUGAUGAGUGCAUGGUCUUGGAUAAUGAAGCCUUGUAUGACAUUUGCUUCAGGACCCUCAAGCUAACAACUCCUAGCUUUGGUGAUCUGAACCAUCUUAUCUCUGCUACCAUGAGUGGCGUUACCUGCUGCCUUAGGUUCCCUGGGCAACUUAAUUCUGACCUCAGGAAGCUCGCCGUGAAUUUGAUACCCUUCCCUCGUCUUCAUUUCUUCAUGGUUGGCUUUGCCCCACUCACCUCACGUGGGUCCCAAAUGUAUCGCGCUUUGACAGUGCCAGAGCUCACUCAGCAGAUGUGGGACUCAAAAAACAUGAUGUGUGCUGCUGACCCAAGGCACGGACGAUACCUCACUGCGUCUGCCAUGUUUAGAGGAAAAAUGAGCACCAAAGAAGUUGACGAGCAGAUGAUUAAUGUGCAAAAUAAGAACUCAUCCUACUUUGUCGAGUGGAUCCCGAAUAACAUCAAGUCAAGCGUCUGUGAUAUUCCACCAAGGGGUCUAUCAAUGGCGUCGACCUUCAUCGGAAACUCAACUUCUAUCCAGGAAAUGUUCAGGAGAGUGAGUGAACAAUUCACAGCUAUGUUUAGAAGAAAGGCUUUCUUGCAUUGGUAUACUGGUGAAGGAAUGGAUGAGAUGGAAUUCACUGAGGCAGAGAGCAACAUGAAUGAUCUUGUUUCUGAGUACCAGCAGUACCAGGAAGCUACUGCUGACGAGGAAGGUGAAUAUGAGGACGAAGAAGAGGAGUUACAGGAGAUGUGAGAAACUUACAUAGUAGGUUAAAAGUAGUAGAAUGGAUUGGAGUGUUGAUAUUGGAAUUUGGAUUUCAGGUCGCUGUGAUGAUCAUGUUGCCUCUUCAAGACAAUUUGAACAUCUCUAAUCGGUAGUGACUUUGCAUUGAACUUUGAUCGAAACCAGUGAGAGUCGUCAUGGUCGCAAAACAUAUCCCGGAUCUUGCAUAUAUUUCGGUUUCAGCCAUUGAUGACGCCAUAGCUUCAAUCCGAUUAAUCCUUUACAAAUUAGUAUUCGCUAUUUGUGAGACCCGUUUCUCAAAUUGAUCAUUCUUUAUACAUCGGAAUGGACGAUUCCAUAGGUUAUAGUCGAAAAGAAGAGUAAAGAGUUUUUUCAAUCCAGAGGAGGUCUUUAUCUUCUUUAAGUUCAAAGUAUCUCCAUCUUUGAAUUUUCUUCCGGACAAAGGGAAAGGUCCUGGUCUCUGACUUUCUACCACGACGACUCUGACUUUGUAACUGCAAUGUUUCGGUUACAAACGAAGCAGGAUUUAUGGCGAGAAAAAUGCUCUGAGGAUCGGGCGAUUAUCUAGUCAAUUCAGUUUUUCAACUCAGUAAAUUUUUUUAAUUUUUUUUAGAAUGCUACAUUUCUAAGCUUUCUGAUGUUUGUUUAUUCAUAAUUUCUUAUA